GACGAACGCUGGCGGCGUGCCUAAUACAUGCAAGUUGAGCGCUGAAGGUUGGUCCUUGUACCAACUGGAUGAGCCGCGAACGGGUGAGUACCGCGUGGGGACUCUGCCUUUGAGCGGGGGACAACAUUUGGAAACGAAUGCUAAUACCGCAUAAAAACUUUAAACACAAGUUUUAAGUUUGAAAGAUGCAAUUGCCUCACUCAAAGAUGAUCCCGCGUUUUAUUAGCUAGUUGGUGAGGUAAAGGCUCACCAAGGCGAUGAUACAUAGCCGACCUGAGGGGGUGAUCGGCCACAAUGGGAAUGGGACACGGCCCAAACUCCUUCGGGAGGCAGCAGUAGGGAAUCUUCGGCCAUGGACGAAAGUCUGGCCGAGCAACGCCGGGUGAGGGAAGAAGGGUUUCGGAUCGGAAAACUCUGUUGGUAGGGAAGAAAGUUGGGGAGAGUAGAACGCGCAGCAAGUGACGGUAACUGCACAGAAAGGGACGGCUAACUACGUG
rnacentral:rRNA from 1 species